GCCUGGAUAGCUCAGCGGUAGAGCAGCUGUUUUGUAAACAGCAGGUCCGCGGUCCAAAUCCGCGUCCAGGCU
rnacentral:tRNA from 4 species